rnacentral:lncRNA from 1 species
CUAAUUUCAGCUUGUCUUCUAACACUAAAUGGUGUCUUCAGACACCCGUGUGGUUUCAGCAGUAGGGUUUGGUUCUGGUUCCUCGGGAGCAGCCCCGAAGCCUCUGCACCGGCUCCGGGCCUCCUCCUCCUCCUCCUCCUGAGCAGUCACUGCCCUUUUCCCUCAAGGUCUGGCUUUCCUCAGGCACCUGGCAGGGCUGUGGCUGCUCCUGCCGUGCCCGUAUCAGUGCCACGUUCUGCAUUCAUUCCAGCCUCUUCGCAGCGCGCCUGUGGCUGUGGGAGCGCGGCCUCAGCCACACUCAGUGCCACCUCAGCGGGAUCAGGGAAAGACUUGUCUGAUUACUUAAUCCAAAGCCACAUCCUCCACUCGAUGGCUGCCAAAGUGAGCCACAGGCGAGAGGGUGUGAGGGUGGAUCCACACCUACCUUGUCCACGUGGAAGGACAAGAUUUGGUGGCAAAUGUACUCUGGGAGCUGCCACUGUCCACACACUGGAAGUUUUGAUAGGUACGGGACACUGGCAGUUGGGAACCAGACAUC